rnacentral:lncRNA from 1 species
CCACAAGGUGCUUGUAACCUGAACAAGAAGCUUCCUGUUCAAAGGCACAGACCUGUCACUAUUGAUUACCUGCAAAGCACUGCCAGGACAGGCAAAAGUACUUGAGGUGCUAAAAGUGGCUCGGUUUUAUAUGAUCUCCCAUUAUCUCCUUACAAUGAAUUAAUAAAACAAUAACUUGUACCAAGUAGGGUGUUAUAUCAGUGAUUGCUCUUGAUAAACUAUUCUUUUAAGUAGCAGUGUGAUGGUCCAGGUUACAAGCAGGCUUCAGAAAAGGGGCUGCAGCCUGCUGAGAAGCGUGUACCAUGAGUAAAAUUAAUGCUACAUGUACUGUGAGUUUUACAUCCAGAUACCUGGACACAGUUCCCUUGCUUCCCAGAACGUAGGCUUGGCCCCACAAAACUCAAAAGGCAAUUUACCACAGUCCAAGAAAGGAUUAUGGGAUUGCCGAUUGCUUUCCCUCUCUUUACUUUGUUGUUUCUCUCAGUUUGCCCUGUGAGGAGCUUUGAUUUAGCUGCAGAAAGAGAAGUGGUUACCUUGGGAAGUGUGUAGGUGGGGUAGGCUUUGUCCCCUUAGCAAUGCUAAGCAUUGCUGCAGGAGCUGGUGCUGACACAGAGCUACUGCAACCUCUGAGCACUGGGCUUGAAAAACUCAGCCUCACACCCUGAUGGAGAGAUAAUUUGUGCCACUUCAACAGCAUCAUCCUUCACCGCUCCCACUGCAGGGACUGAGACGAGCGUUUCCAUGGUGCAGAGCAGCACUGCGCACGCCUCAGCGAAAUGGGAAACAAAACCCUCUUCUCGCUACUGGCUCAACAUGUGUGAUUGUGAGACACCCAGCAAGACAGCCGGAGGGGUAAGACAGAUGUCUGCCACUCGACUACAGGAACCAAUAGCAGGAAGAUCACUGGAUUUUCAUCCAUAUUUCUUAAUGAAAUUGCCUUCAUGAACUGUACCCUCUGACUUUCAUUAUAUAUUCACUAACAGCCUUUGCUGCUUGUCUGCUGCUCCUGUUAUAUGUCUGGGUGUUGUCAGGGUCCAUAAAUCUGUCUGAGUGCUGCCAACUGUUACCCAUACGAAUUCCAAAACACAACAUCAUUAGAUUUAGAUGUAUCAGAACAAGAAUCUCAUCCUAUUUCCAGAAACAUCUACCUGAUUUUUGCCAUGGGUAUCAAAGGGAACAGAUCAUAUCGAGAAGCCAGCAAUCUUCCUGUAAACAUGCAUUUGAAGCUCUGGCUUUUGCUGGUGGUUGAUGUUUGUUUGUUUUCUCCAAAGGAUGUCUCAGUUCCUUAGUUUUACUUUAGUGUGGCUUUAAAACAAAAACAGAGCAAUGAUUACUGAUUUGCAUCUUUGUUACACUGGGUAGGUAUGGACCAAACUGAGUUCUUACUGCUUUGUUGGGAAGCUGUUCCUUUCCUUAAUCGCAUUUUGUAAACAAAGAAACUGAGGGACAAAACUGACCAACUUUCUCAUGCUUUGUUAAAUUUGACAAGAUUUGUUCAUUCAUUA